UACGAAGGGGGCUAGCGUUGCUCGGAAUCACUGGGCGUAAAGGGUGCGUAGGCGGGUCUUUUAAGUCAGGGGUGAAAUCCUGGAGCUCAACUCCAGAACUGCCUUUGAUACUGAAGAUCUUGGGUACGGGAGAGGUGAGUGGAAUUCCGAGUGUAGAGGUGAAAUUCGUAGAUAUUCGGAAGAACACCAGUGGCGAAGGCGGCUCACUGGCCCGUUACCGACGCUCAGGCGCGACAGCGUGGGGAGCAAACAGG
rnacentral:rRNA from 1 species